CCCCCCUAAAUCCGCCUCUGCUGGGUCGAUACCGCUACUGGUGGACAAUCAGUGUCUGUUGAUAUCAUAAGCUCAGUAGUUCGUACUUCGGUACGGAUAUGAUUUAUGACAAACCUUUCUAAAAAGUAAAAUCACAAAAAUACUGAACUCCGAGGAAAAUUCAAUCGGAAAGUCCCAAAUGACAUGGCAAAAUCAAAUGACAAAACACAUCAAACGAAUGGACG
rnacentral:lncRNA from 1 species